rnacentral:lncRNA from 1 species
UCCUUAAUGCAUUGAAUAUGGUUGGCGGUCUUUUAUAUCCGCUUUUCUUUUUUGUGUUCUUGAUGAGAUUCUUUAUUGUUCUAAAUUGUCCUAGGGGUCCGGGGACGGUGGUGUGGAGCUCUGGCUGCUCAUCCUGUGGUGGCUGUUCAUGGUGGGCUGGUUCGGGAUGGGUAGCGGUAAAGUUGUUCCGCUGUUUUCUGGCCACUUCUCUCGGGGGCUUGUCGAUAGUGCCUGGGUUGUAGCCAUGGUCUCGGGCUGUCUUUUUUGUGUUGUCUAUUUCAGCAUUGGGGUCCUCGUCCUCAGUGCAGUGGGUGGUGGCCCUGUUUACUGGUGAGUUUGUGGCGGAUCUUUUGUGCCUCCACUUAUUGUCGGACCAAUUAGGUACCUCCCUUUUUUUGCUUAUAGAGUCUCCCAUUGAACUUCAAAUGUAGCCUAUUGCACAGCAGAUGGGUGGGGUCUCUGAGUGUCUGCGGGUUUGUGUUGGCUUCUGGUACAUUUUCCGGGGGGAAUCUGUAUAGUGCGGUGCAUGCUGGGGCUGUGUUGGGAGGGGGAUGCGGCUUCUCGGGGUCGUGGGUUGUCGGGGUUUCAUUGCCGUUUGGAUGGAGGGUCC